AAAUUCGGCAAAUUAGAUCCGUAACCUCGGGAAAAGGAUUGGCUAUGAGGGUUGAGUGUGGUGCCAAUGAAAUGGAACUAGGAUCUGUACUGGUGUUGGUCGCAAGAUCGAAACCGGCAUGGAGAGAAGGAAAAUUUUUGCGGCCAGCACAAUUAACAACCGACUCAGAACUGAAGCGGACAAGGGGAAUCCGACUGUUUAAUAAAAACAUAGCUUUGUGGUGGCCUCAAAAGGUGUUGACACAAAGUGAUUUCUGCCCAGUGCUUUGAAUGUGAAUAUGAAGUAAUUCAUAGAAGCUCAGGUAAACGGCGGGAGUAACUAUGACUCUCUUAAGGUAGCCAAAUGCCUCGUCAUCUAAUUAGUGACGCGCAUGAAUGGAUUAAUGAGAUUCCCACUGUCCCUAUCUACCAUCUAGCGAACCCAUAGCCAAGGGAACGAGCUUGAAUAAUCAGCGGGGAAAGAAGACCCUGUUGAGCUUGACUCUAGUCCGACUUUGUGAAAUGACUUUCGAGAUAUAGCCUAAGUGGGAGCUAACGCGCCGCUGUAAAACCACUGCUCGCUUAGCCAUUUUACUUACUCCAUGAAGAAGUGGCCGAUUUUUCGGUUCUUAGAUUUAAGCCCUGACUCGUAUCAGGGCAAGCUUUGUGGAGGACACAGUCAGGUGGGGAGUUUGACUGGGGCGGUACAUCUGUUAAAACGUAACGCAGGUGUCCUACGGUGAGCUCAAAGAGAACAGAAAUCUCUUGUAGACCAAAAGGGGAAAAGCUCGCUUGAUUUUGAUUUUCAGUACUAAUACAAACCGCGAAAGCGUGGCCUAUCGAUCCUUUAACUUUACAAGUUUUAAGCUAGAGGUGUCAGAAAAGUUACCACAGGGAUAACUGGCUUGUGGCAGCCAAGCGCCCAUAGCGACGUUGCUUUUUGAUCCUUCGAUGUCGGCUCUUCCUAUCAUUGUGAUGUACAAGUCACAACGUGUUGGAUUGUUCACCCGUUAAUAGGGAACGUGAGCUGGGUUUAGACCGUCGUGAGACAGGUUAGUUUUACCCUACUGAUGAAUCGAUGUUGCGACAGUAAUCUUACUUAGUACGAGAGGAACCGUUAGAUCAGAUAAUUGGUUAAUACGGUUAGCUGAAAAGCUAAUGCCGUGAAGCUACCAUCUGUUGGAUUAUGACUGAAAGCCUCUAAGUCAGAAACCAUGCUGGAAAGCAACGUCCAAUCAAUAAUAAAUGAAAAAGAAUAAGGGAAACCUUUAGUUCAGUAUGGGGACGGUCAAACUCGAAAGAGUAUAGCCAAACCCAGAAUAAAUUUUAAUUAUUAUUGU
rnacentral:rRNA from 1 species